GUUGGGUAAAGAAAAGGAAAUCUAGUUCAAAGGGGAUGGUGAUUAGGGUUUGUCUAUAUAAGUACACCUAGGGUAAUGAGGAGCCGUUCUCCUUGCAAUUUUUUCAGCAACCAACAGCGAGGAAAAAGGAGUGAGAGAGUCGGCUGGAGUUCAAGAAAGCUUGGGAUCAAAGGAGGUGCACAUACAGGGCGGUUACGCGAGUGUUGAAGAGGUAAAACACAUGUCUCAUGAACUUAGUAAAUAGCUAUGAGUUUUGAGCCCUUUAUUAGAGGAAGAAAAUGUGUGGACUGUGGGUCUCAUCCUAACUACCAUGACCUAUGAUUUAGUACGUGAUUGUAAGGGGUUAAAACUGAAAAAGGUUUGAACGUUUAAACCAGGAAGGAAUAGCCUACGGGUUUUGACAGAUUGUAGUGGCAAGAGUAUGGAAUCUGUUCAUGGCCUUAGAGGCUGAGAUUUUUUAUGAAAUUUUGAUAUGUUAUGGGCCUAUAUGUGUAGGGUUUGUGUAUAAAAUUUCAGACCAAAAUUCGAAGUAUAGAAGGGUCUUUCGAUUUCUGAAUCAGAACUGGUUGUGCGUCUGCAGCGUUUGCAUGAGGUUGGGUUGUAUGUCAAUAAAACGUUUUCUUAAGCAUAAUUUUUGCAAAAAUCCUAAACCAGAAACCUCCUAACAUGUAAAGGGUCAUAUUUUAAAAGUUUGGGUAAUUUUUGAAAAGGUUUCUUGAGUUUUCUCCAAGUGGGAAGAAGAAAAGAAAAAAAAACGGUUGCCUAAUCUGUCGGGUUUCGUAGCAGAUUUGGAAACUUGCUUUUUGUGGGUUGAAGCAACGAAUUAAAGGCAAUCUUCACCCAAGAUUUGACCAUAUAUUUGGGGUAUUACUUGUAUAAGAACAUUCUGGAUGUUGGGGAUAUAAAACCCAGUUCUUAAAGAUCCUUUUUGCAAGGGUUCAGUGGUGAGUUCAAACCUGUCAAAAGAAUUGGAUUGUUAAAUCUAAUGAGUUAUUGCUUUGGAACUUGGAAGAGCACUUAAACCUUAACUUGAGGGGAGGUUAACAUCAGGUAAAGACUGAUUUAAACAUCAUGAGUAAUAAGGAAGGGAUUUUAAUUGUCUAACUUAAUGAUUAGGAAUUCUUCCAGUAAUAGAUUAUGAACAGAAAAUCUGGCAGAUGGAGUAAUAGGAGUUUAUGAACGAAUUUUGCCAAGGCAAAUGAACAAAUCUAGAGAAGUAGUUUUCACGGAAGUGGUAGAGUUUCAAGUCUAGUUCACGGAUGUGUCUUUAGUUUCUGGUUUCAAUGCGUAUACCUGAAGUUAGGACCAAAACACUAGCAACCGGUUGAAUCUGGAAUUUUUUUCGUAAGACGUAGUAGAAGCUAUAAGUAGCGUGGAAUGAGACCAAUUUAGGCCACACGAAUUAAGAGUGUUUGUUUAUGGGCAGUUGGAUGAUACUUUUGUAUAUUAUUAGGGUCACACGUAAGGGGCUAGCUCAUAGGGUGGAAGAGUAAAAGAAGUUAGUCGAAGUUGAGGUGAGUACUUCACACUAUCCUUGUAUUUGUAACAACGAACUUUUUACAAAUUGGGACAUUACUUUACUAUAUAAAAUUCGGAUCAUAUAUGCUAUUUUGAAUGGAAUCUUUAUCAUGAUAUGCUUAUUUUUUGAAGUGUUGAAAUAAAAUGUACUAAUGUAAUGGACCCUCUUAAUUACCAUCAUGACUAUACUCGGCAGGACCAGGCCCAACUACUAUGAUUAUGAAUUCGAAUUCGAACUAUGACCUUUCCCUAGUGGGGGUUAAACACUAGACUGUGUACACAGAGACCGAUGAAGGCAAUUAAGUUGAAACUUUUAUUUGGUGAUUGUUAUGUAUUCGAAUUUGAUGCAUAAUUGUGUUUGCAAAUUUGCAUACGACUCUAUGGUCUUUUUGUAACAAUUGGAGCUAUGAAUAUGAAGUACGAAUUGUGUUGUGUGAGUGCAAAAUUAUAUGUAUAUGUAACAUGUAUGAUCUGACAGGGAUAGUAGGUAGUACUUGCUGAGCUUGCAAAAGCUCACCCCCCUUUUAUCACCCCACUUUGCAGACAACGAUGGAGAAUAUGAGUUAGUGUUCGUGGAAGAAGAGGAAGAAUAGAUGGACAAUGGUUGGAGGUUGAUAUAGUGGUCAAGCUUAUAAGCUUAGCAGCGGAGAUUUUUCAUUAUCAUUUAUUUUUAUUUUCUAGUCAUGUUUGAGGGAUUCUAGUGUCUGGCACUUGUCCAUAAGUAGACAAGUUUGACUUUUAUUUUCAUGAUACGUUUACUGUGAGAACCCGAAAAUUAUAUUUAUAUUGAUAUUCUAAAAAAUUAUAUAUAUAUAUACAUAUAUUUGUAUUCUA
rnacentral:lncRNA from 1 species